UCUACCUGUUUUUCACUCUUGGCUUGCUGCUGAAAAACGCCAAGCGACACAGUCCUCCUGUGUCUUCUCCAAUCUUCACAUGUAAGAUCCAACAGUGUGAGGCACAUAGCAGCCAGAAACUGUAAUGCCACAGAACAGAGAGGCUUCAUCAUCACCAUCUUCAUCACUGUACGAUCAGAGCGUGAGACUUCACAUCUGGAGCACAGGAGACAUUCUGUGAUAAGUCCUCCUUCUAGCUUGUCCCACAAGCAGUCGAGCUGAGACACUCAGGACUGAACAGACUGCACAGUUUCUGUGACUGAGCCUCCAAAACACCUUCUUUGAAACCACUCAUGAUAGAAGGGCUUCAUAUUUGCAGCAGCACUACUACAGUUGGCAGGAAUGUUGCUGCAGGAAAACAUCCCUGGAGAUCACCAUCAUUGUCAGACUGACUGUGCCUCCUCUGUGCAGUGUCAAGAUCCUCC